rnacentral:rRNA from 1 species
GUAGUCUGCAACUCGACUACAUGAAGCUGGAAUCGCUAGUAAUCGCGAAUCAGCAUGUCGCGGUGAAUACGUUCCCGGGUCUUGUACACACCGCCCGUCACACCAUGGGAGUCGGAAAUGCCCGAAGUCGGUGACCUAACCGAGAGGGAGGAGCCGCCGAAGGCAGGUUCGGUAACUGGGGUGAAGUCGUAACAAGGUAAC